rnacentral:rRNA from 1 species
CCCCUGGAUGUUCUGGGCCGCACGCGCGCUACACUGAACAGUUCAACAAGUCUUAACCUUGGCCGAUAGGUCUGGGUAAUCUUUGAACGCUGUUCGUGAUUGGGAUAGACCUUUGCAAUUAUGGGUCUUCAACGAGGAAUUCCUAGUAAACGCAAGUCAUCAGCUUGCAUUGAUUACGUCCCUGCCCUUUGUACACACCGCCCGUCGCACCUACCGAUUGAAUGGUCCGGUGAAAUCUCGGGACGGCGGCUUGGUCGCUUGCGUCCGACUGCUGAAACUUGAUUAAACCAUAUCAUUUAGAGGAAGGUGAANUCGUANCA